rnacentral:rRNA from 2 species
UACGUAGGGUGCAAGCGUUAAUCGGAAUUACUGGGCGUAAAGCGUGCGCAGGCGGUUGUGCAAGACCGAUGUGAAAUCCCCGGGCUUAACCUGGGAAUGGCAUUGGUGACUGCACGGCUAGAGUGUGUCAGAGGGGGGUAGAAUUCCACGUGUAGCAGUGAAAUGCGUAGAGAUGUGGAGGAAUACCGAUGGCGAAGGCAGCCCCCUGGGAUAACACUGACGCUCAUGCACGAAAGCGUGGGGAGCAAAC